rnacentral:rRNA from 1 species
UGCAGUCGGACGGGAUUGAGGAGCUUGCUUCUCAUGAGAGUGGCGCACGGGUGCGUAACACGUAUGUAACCUACCUUGUUCAGGGGGAUAGCCUCUCGAAAGAGAGAUUAACACCGCAUAAAAUCAAUUUAUGGCAUCAUAGAAUGAUCAAAUAUUUAUAGGAACAAGAUGGGCAUGCGGAACAUUAGCUAGUUGGUAAGGUAACGGCUUACCAAGGCUACGAUGUUUAGGGGAUCUGAGAGGAUGACCCCCCACACUGGUACUGAGACACGGACCAGACUCCUACGGGAGGCAGCAGUAAGGAAUAUUGGUCAAUGGACGCAAGUCUGAACCAGCCAUGCCGCGUGCAGGAAGACGGCCCUACGGGUUGUAAACUGCUUUUGUACCGGAAUAAACCUUUUCACGUGUGAGAAGCUGAAUGUACGGUAAGAGUAAGGAUCGGCUAACUCCGUGCCAGCAGCCGCGGUAAUACGGAGGAUCCAAGCGUUAUCCGGAUUUAUUGGGUUUAAAGGGUGCGUAGGUGGCCUAUUAAGUCAGGGGUGAAAGACGGUAGCUUAACUAUCGCAGUGCCUUUGAUACUGAUGGGCUUGAAUACACUUGAGGUAGGCGGAAUGUGACAAGUAGCGGUGAAAUGCAUAGAUAUGUCACAGAACACCAAUUGCGAAGGCAGCUUACUAAAGUGUUAUUGACACUGAGGCACGAAAGCGUGGGGAUCAAACAGGAUUAGAUACCCUGGUAGUCCACGCCCUAAACGAUGAAUACUCGAUGUUGGCGAUAUACGGUCAGCGUCUAAGCGAAAGCGUUAAGUAUUCCACCUGGGGAGUACGCCCGCAAGGGUGAAACUCAAAGGAAUUGACGGGGGCCCGCACAAGCGGAGGA